rnacentral:rRNA from 1 species
CCUACGGGAGGCUGCAGUGGGGAAUAUUGCACAAUGGGCGCAAGCCUGAUGCAGCCAUGCCGCGUGUGUGAAGAAGGCCUUCGGGUUGUAAAGCACUUUCAGCGGGGAGGAAGGCGGUGAGGUUAAUAACUUCAUCGAUUGACGUUACCCGCAGAAGAAGCACCGGCUAACUCUGUGCCAGCAGCCGCGGUAAUACGGAGGGUGCAAGCGUUAAUCGGAAUUACUGGGCGUAAAGCGCACGCAGGCGGUCUGUCAAGGCGGAUGUGAAGUCCCCGGGCUCAACCUGGGAACUGCAUUCGAAACUGGCAGGCUAGAGUCUUGUAGAGGGGGGUAGAACUCCAGGUGUAGCGGUGAAAUGCGUAGAGAUCUGGAGGAAUACCGGUGGCGAAGGCGGCCCCCUGGACAAAGACUGACGCUCAGGUGCGAAAGCGUGGGGAGCAAACAGGAUUAGAUACCCUAGUAGUC